GACGAACGCUGGCGGCGUGCUUAACACAUGCAAGUCGAACGGAAAGGCCCUGCUUUUGUGGGGUGCUCGAGUGGCGAACGGGUGAGUAACACGCGAGUAACCUGCCCUUGACUUUGGGAUAACUUCAGGAAACUGGGGCUAAUACCGGAUAGGAGCUCCUGCUGCAUGGUGGGGGUUGGAAAGUUUCGGCGGUUGGGGAUGGACUCGCGGCUUAUCAGCUUGUUGGUGGGGUAGUGGCUUACCAAGGCUUUGACGGGUAGCCGGCCUGAGAGGGUGACCGGCCACAUUGGGACUGAGAUACGGCCCAGACUCCUACGGGAGGCAGCAGUGGGGAAUAUUGCACAAUGGGCGGAAGCCUGAUGCAGCAACGCCGCGUGCGGGAUGACGGCCUUCGGGUUGUGAACCGCUUUCGCCUGUGACGAAGCGUGAGUGACGGUAAUGGGUAAAGAAGCACCGGCUAACUACGUG
rnacentral:rRNA from 1 species